AUUAAUAUUAAUACUGAUAAAAACAAGAAUAACACACGUUAUACGAUAGUGGACUACAUUUAGCGGCGGAGGGACACACCUGACUCUGGACUACAGUUUGAGGCGGAUUGAUACACCGAGUGGAGUUUGGCAAGUUGGAGCGUUUACUACUGAAAGCAUCAAUGGCGGGAAGCAGAGUUCUGAAGAUCCCUUUCAUGAAGUGGAAAUGGUCAAGGAAGAAUACUACUGUUUUUAUUUUGGGUACACAUUGCUGUUUUUAAAAGAUGUACCAAGAGCCAAGUGGUUCCGACGGAAACCUGUUUCCACUUUUGAGGUUAAAGACUGCAAGUCGAGACUGCAGUGCCAACAAUGCUGCUCCUGCUAGAUGAGAUGGACACCUGGAACCUUAUGUUUGUAUGAUUUCUUUAAAUCCUAUUUAUUUAAAGUAUCCGCCAGGCCACCCAAGAAGGAUGGAGGUCCCUGCUGACUAUUGUUCCUCUCAAGGUUUCUUCCUGUAAUUUUAAGGGAGUUUUUACUUGUCACUGUUGCCCUCGGCUUGCUCAACAGGGGUUUUUUGGUCUGUUGGUCCUGGAUU